AUUGAACGCUGGCGGCAGGCCUAACACAUGCAAGUCGAGCGGAUGAAGGGAGCUUGCUCCUGGAUUCAGCGGCGGACGGGUGAGUAAUGCCUAGGAAUCUGCCUGGUAGUGGGGGAUAACGUCCGGAAACGGGCGCUAAUACCGCAUACGUCCUGAGGGAGAAAGUGGGGGGUCUUCGGACCUCACGCUAUCAGAUGAGCCUAGGUCGGAUUAGCUAGUUGGUGGGGUAAAGGCCUACCAAGGCGACGAUCCGUAACUGGUCUGAGAGGAUGAUCAGUCACACUGGAACUGAGACACGGUCCAGACUCCUACGGGAGGCAGCAGUGGGGAAUAUUGGACAAUGGGCGAAAGCCUGAUCCAGCCAUGCCGCGUGUGUGAAGAAGGUCUUCGGAUUGUAAAGCACUUUAAGUUGGGAGGAAGGGCAGUAAGUUAAUACCUUGCUGUUUUGACGUUACCAAAAGAAUAAGCACCGGCUAACUUCGUG
rnacentral:rRNA from 1 species